rnacentral:rRNA from 1 species
GACGAACGCUGGCGGCGUGCUUAACACAUGCAAGUCGAGCGGUAAGGCCCUUCGGGUACGACGAGCGGCGAACGGGUGAGUAACACGUGGGUGACCUGCCCUUCACUCUGGGAUAAGCCUGGGAAACUGGGUCUAAUACCGGAUAUGACCUGCUCUCGCAUGGGGGGUUGGUGGAAAGUCAGUAUUGUAGUGAUGCUGGCGGUGGGGGAUGGGCCCGCGGUCUAUCAGCUUGUU